UGCCCUAGACGGUGGUCCUGACCUGGUGGUCUCUGUUCAGAGACUCGCUGUACUACAUCUUCUCAGUGCUGGCCUUGAUUUUGGUUAUUUAUGAUGAAAGAGUUGUAUGGUGGGAAUCAGUGCUUCUGAUCUCCAUGUAUGGAGUCUACAUCCUUAUCAUGAAGU